ACUGUUUAGCAGCCAGGCUGGAAACCAACCGGCAAGGCCCGUGACCCUUGACCCCUCAGGUGGGAUUGCAUUAAAAACCGUCAUCAUUGUGUAAAGAUCUUACUGCGUGGGCUCAGGAACACUUCAGAAAACCAUUGUCAGUUAACACAGUUUGUCACUACAUCUACAAGUGCAAGUUAAAACUCUACCAUGCAAAGUGAAAGUC